UGCGUCCUCCAUGGUAGCAAACUUUUCUGCGCCAGGCUAGCAGCAAGUACUCCGGGAUCAUUGCCUCGCAAAGCAUGGCGGCAUACGGCCCUGGUGCUUGCUGGCAUUCACACAGCAUGCGGUCUUUCUCUGUCUCCGAAAUCCUCAUCAGAGUGAUAUCACUCAUGGUGACCUGCUUUGAAUUAGGGGAAUGUUAGUAUUGGGACUGAUUGCCUGUUCCUUUACAUAACUGUAACCGGCCGUUUACAGCCACGGGGUGGAGGCGUGACAGGGGCAGCAUGGAGGGAUCUUUCCCGGGGACAGCCGCAAGGGGGGGUGGGACAGGGGCAGAGUUCAUGCUGGCCGGAUUGCCGGCAGCAGGAACUGGCCAACGCUAGGAGCAUUGCUUGGAACGUGAAAGGAGGGCACUGCUAUAAAUUAAGCUUUAAGCAGCCAAAAGUCUACGUCUUACCAUGUCCGCCUGCUAGCCAGCCCCACUUAUGUGAUCUGUACAGCAAGACCACAGGCACUCAAUGGGAAGGCCGAAAAUUCGACCUUGAACUGAGUGCACAUGUGAUAGGUGCUGUGCAUGGUCUUGUUCACAGAGAAAGACUAUAUUCAUUGUCCGCAAAACUGUAUCUUUCUGAGGAAUUCACUCCCUUUUUCCCAUCCCACAGCUGCGAGUGUCUCCCGAGCUACCCCGGCAUCCCCCUCCCAGAGGCUGGGGCAGAUCAGGCGACGAAAAAGAAGGACACGGGACGAGAUGUUCUCAGAACUUACGGGCUGCUCCCGAGCCGAGGCGGCUCAGCAGACCCAGUGGAGGGAGAACGUGUCGCAAUACCAGCGAGCACACAGCGAACGGGAGGAGAGGUGGCGGCAGAAAGACCAGCAGGCGACACAAACGCUGCUUGGACUAAUGAGGGAGCAAACGGACACGCUCCGGCGCCUUGUAGAUGUUCUGCAGGUGUGCGGAUGGCCUCCGGGUGCCCCCUAGGGCGCCGCUCCACCCGCCCCGGGACCACUGCUGCUUGG
rnacentral:lncRNA from 1 species